AUUGAACGCUGGCGGCAGGCCUAACACAUGCAAGUCGAGCGGGGUGAUGGUGCUUGCACUAUCACCUAGCGGCGGACGGGUGAGUAAUGCUUAGGAAUCUGCCUAUUAGUGGGGGACAACAUCUCGAAAGGGGUGCUAAUACCGCAUACGUCCUACGGGAGAAAGCAGGGGAUCACUUGUGACCUUGCGCUAAUAGAUGAGCCUAAGUCGGAUUAGCUAGUUGGUGGGGUAAAGGCCUACCAAGGCGACGAUCUGUAGCGGGUCUGAGAGGAUGAUCCGCCACACUGGGACUGAGACACGGCCCAGACUCCUACGGGAGGCAGCAGUGGGGAAUAUUGGACAAUGGGGGGAACCCUGAUCCAGCCAUGCCGCGUGUGUGAAGAAGGCCUUAUGGUUGUAAAGCACUUUAAGCGAGGAGGAGGCUCUUUUGGCUAAUACCCAAGAUGAGUGGACGUUACUCGCAGAAUAAGCACCGGCUAACUCUGUGCCAGCAGCCGCCGUAA
rnacentral:rRNA from 1 species